rnacentral:rRNA from 1 species
ACGGAGGGUGCGAGCGUUAAUCGGAAUCACUGGGCGUAAAGCGCGCGUAGGCGGCCUUUUAAGUCAGGGGUGAAAUCCCACGGCUCACCCGUGGAACUGCCCUUGAUACUGCAUUGCUUGAGUGUGUGAGAGGAUAGCGGAAUUCCUGGUGUAGGAGUGAAAUCCGUAGAGAUCAGGAGGAACAUCAGUGGCGAAGGCGGCCAUCUGGCACAAAACUGACGCUGAGGUGCGAAAGCGUGGGGAUCAAACAG